GGGAAGCGGAGAAUAUUGGGAUGAUUCGAAAAGAAAUGCCAGGGCCCAAGAGAUCCACUGGAAGCGAUGAUGAGAUCUGGGAGGGAGAAAUGCAGCAGCUUAUUCAGGGACGGGCUAAACGCGGGAGGGGGGGAAGAAAAAAUAUGCAGGGGUGGAAAUGGAGGAAGUACACGGAACCAGGAGGAGGGGGGUAGGCAAUUCUUGGAAGAAGGAGGAGAACGUUUUUAUAGCGGGGAGGAAAGAGAUGAGAUCAGAACUAUAAAAUAUGGGUUGGAGCUUGGGGAAUCGUUUGGAAUGUGUAACAGAAAAGCGAGGCGGCCACGGGGCAGAGGGAGGUCUCGACUCUCCUCCCCCUUCGCUCUCCCGCCUCCUCCCCUUCCGCCGGCGAAUGCGUGGAGGCCAGCUAGACGCCGCGGCCUCGAAGCCGACCUUUUCUGCGCCAGCGAGGCCGAAACAAACACAACCGCCAGCUGUGAAAGGAUGGCAACUCUGGGCUUUGUAACAGAAGGGGGAAGGAAAUCCUGCUUAUGCCCUUUCUUGCACUACGGCCUUGUAAAGUAGGCCAAUUGCCUCCCAAACAAGAGAGAUUUUGCUCAGCAUGAGAAGACACACAUAAAGCAGUUCUAUCUCACAAUGUGUGGUUUUCAAGAGAAUGAUUAGUAUGAGUUGCAUCAUGAGAUUUCAAGUUGAUCAUUUGCAGAUAAAGUGAAGAAAAUUGUGCUUCAUCAAUAAAAAGUGGAAUCCAUUUGAUGAUAAUAAUGGACUUCAUCACAUUUCAAGCUUGCAUGUGUUGACAUUGGAAAAAACAGUAUCUUUCUGAAAAAUCUUCAUUCAAAAGACUAAGAAAUUAUUCUGCCAAUAAAGCACAUUAAAACGCACAUCAGAAGAUCAGACAAAAAAAAGAUAUCCAAAAAGAAACUACAGUACUGUGCUCUUAAGAGUCAUUAAUGUGGCAAGAUAGAAUACAUGAGCUGGAGAAGGAAUUGCCUGCCAAGAUGUGUCUACCACUUUUACCUCAGUCAUCUUCAACUCUGCUUGACUUCAUGCCAGAUUGGUUGCAAUAUCUGCUGGAAAGUCAUUCAGCAGUUUUGGGGAUUUUGCAAAGCAGAUGUUGCACAAAUUUCUCUCUCUGAAGAGGCUCCUUGAGAAUGGACAUUGCAUUGGAUGUACAGAGAUGGUAGCAUUAAAUCCUUAGAGCCCUGUAGAAGAAUGACAUGGUGUCCUGUUGAAUUCAGCAUAACUGGUAUUGAAACUCCUCUACCCAAGGACAUUUGGGCUUCCAACAUAAUAUAAAUGGCAAAAGUUCUUCGUAGAUUACAUUCUGAAUGAACAGAAUUAGUUGAAGGACAAUACCUUUUAAGUGGGAGGACUUGGAUUUAAUCGAGAGGAGUACCUAUCAAAUGGUGAGACAAGUGAGACUCUUGAUCUGAUAUCUGAUCUUGAACGUGAUGAGAGAAUUUUUCUUCAUAUUAAUCCUGCUACCAUGAAAUCUUGCCUACAGUAUAUGCUUUAACUGAGUGCGAUACUAUAAGCAAAUUCAGUAGAAAGCACACUGCUCUUAAAUGUUCCAGCGUAACCACAGUGUCUGAUGUUCGGGAAGUAAGAGUUACCUAACUACGCUACAGGCUGCAGAAUCAUUUCGUGCAGGAAUGAUAUCACUACAUUUCUCUGCAAUGAAUGUCAAAUUCAACAGUACCAUUGAAUGAAGUGUCUUGACUUUUCAAAGCUGCUACCAAUAUCACCCUCCACACAUCUUCACAUAAGGAGAGCAUAUCUGCAGAGCUACUGGUGGUACCACAUACUUGAAGAUGUGACAGCUCUUAAGUCAUCUCAGUAUGGCUUCACAAAAGAAGAUGGUGAAUGGUUGCCUCAUUACACUGGAGAAAGUCUUCCUAAUGAUUUUCCCCUUGCUUGCACAUGCAAGAAAUGUGUAAUAGACAUUGUUUGCAAAUGCCCUGCCCUGGAGCAAGAAAUGAUGUUGCUCCAGAUUUUGCGUUUGUGGGUGUAACAAUGUUUGCCAGAAUCCAAUUAACCAGUGUUUAGGCCUAAUGUGUAUUAUGGUUUUAAUUGUAUUAAAUAACAAAGAGGUUUAUACUUCAGCAAUAUUUUACUUACUUUGCUCUUUGAUCUAAGAAUUAGUGGCAUAUUUAAUACAAUUAAUAAAACCGCAUUUUCCUUUAAAACUUGUUCAAUUUAGGGCAAUAAAUGUUAUGAAUGAAAUUAUUCAAAAUGUUCUUCGAAGCAAAGUUUAUUAUAUAACAAUGGUCUUCCUAAAAUCAAGAGUUUCUGAAAAAUUGAUGAUUUAUGAAGCAAGGAAGCAUAGCGGUCAUUUGUAGAUUUGUGGCCAUUUUGGAAAACAACUGAUGGCAUCAGGGUGUGAUCAAGUCAGAAAACUAUACUAGCCAAGAACACAUCCCAGAAGAGAAACUAUAUGUACAUUUGCCAACAGGCACAUGGCUGGCCCCUGCAUUAAUGUAUGCACAGAGGAUUUGGGAGAGAAGCAGGAUUUUCUCUUAUCUGGGUGGGAUAUGAAAGAGGAAACAAACGGAGUGUCUUUCCCAUUGCUCAGAAGGAAAUCCUGCUAUUUCUUCGUAUCUGCUUGAAACGUGAAGUGGAAAUUAGAGUCGUGAGGUAGGGGUUUCUAUGGUGCUGUAUGUCCUGCUUGCCAGAGGGCAAAGGGCACACCCUGGUGGAACAGGUAAUUCAAUUUGUGGAUGCCUGACCAUAGGGUUCAGAGGAUGGAUGGGUACAAGUGGUUGUAGAGUUCAAGGGCAGGCAGAAUAUCAAAAAAAUUAAAUCCUAACAAGUGUGGUAUAUAGCAGGGCAAAUGAGAUUACAAUCCUACUGCAAUCCAUUUUGGCAUUUCUGAUAGUAAAUUGAAGUGUUUUGCUACUUUAAUUGCCAUAUUGACAAUGCAAGACAUACGGGGCUUUAACCAUAAAGAUGCUAAGCAUGGAGCAAAACUUGUGCAUCCAUACAGAGUCAUGGUGUGAUGGCUUCAUUUUAUUUUC